rnacentral:rRNA from 1 species
UACGUAGGGACCGAGCGUUGUCCGGAAUCAUUGGGCGUAAAGAGCGUGUAGGCGGCCAUUUAAGUCCUGCGUGAAAUCCUGCGGCUCAACCGCAGGCGGUCGUGGGAAACUGGAUGGCUAGAGUGCGGGAGGGGAGAGUGGAAUUCCUGGUGUAGCGGUGGAAUGCGCAGAUAUCAGGAAGAACACCCGUGGCGAAGGCGGCUCUCUGGAACGCAACUGACGCUGAGACGCGAAAGCGUGGGGAGCAAACAGG